rnacentral:SRP_RNA from 1 species
CCUUUAGACCUAUGCAAUGCUUUUUUUAGAUAAUACUUCAGGAUGGGAACAUAGCAGAGUGGCUUUAAAUUGUGUGUGCCGUAGGUAUCUGGAGGGGG